GAGAGAGACGGACAAUUCAAUUCAGUUUUAUUUGUAUAGAAGCUUCCCAGAAACAAAUAUACUCAGGAUACAGAUUUGAAACGUAUCAAUUUAUCACGCGUUCACAGACAGACAGGAAACGAGAACACGACACAGACGCAGAGAGGGUGAAAGAAGAGAGGUAGAGAGAGAAAAGAGGGAGAGGGACAGAAAUAGACAGAGGCAAUAAGAAAACGACAUCAUGAGUCAGAGAGUGAGGGAGACAGACAGAGAGUGAGACAGACAGACAGACAGACAGAGAGUGAGAGAGACAGACAGAGAGUGAGACAGACAGACAGACAGACAGAGAGUGAGAGAGACAGACAGAGAGUUGAGACAGACAGUCAGAGAGUGAGACAAACAGUCAGAGUGAGACAAACAGACAGACAGACCGAGAGUGAGAGAGACAGACAGACAGAGAGUGAGACAGACAGACAGACAGAGAGUGAGAGAGACAGACAGAGAGUGAGACAGACAGACAGACAGAGAGUGAGAGAGACAGACAGAGAGUGAGACAGACAGACAGGAGAACAGAGAGUGAGACAGACAGUCAGAGAGUGAGACAGACUUCAAAGCCAGUGAGGACGGAUAAAUAAAUGAUGGAGAGAUUCUAUUUGAUGUGGCAAAACAGAGAGCGUGGAAAAA
ensembl:lncRNA